rnacentral:snRNA from 1 species
CAGUAUCUAGCAUUUCGUCGAGGCCUUCUACAAGACCUUAAGUACAAUUUUUGGAAACCCUGCCUCAUUAUUUGGGGGAGGGUA